GGUGGUGGAGGCGUUGAGUGAGACACAGUUUAGCGUAAAACAGGGAAGCUCUUAAGCACCAACAGUGAGCAGCGACAACCCGGUGACACCAAGAGACGGACAAGGAAGAGCUGCAGCUGUUGUUUUCGCGACAAGGAAGUUUCUGCCAUCGAAAACAAUAAACUCAAGAUAAUGGGUCUGUCUGGGGUGGAGCCUUUUGGUGUUCAGACAGCGAGAAAGAGGACUGAGGACAUGAAUUCUUGGACUGACCUGAUUAACAUGGAUGGAUGAACAGCAAGCUCAUCAAACCAGCCAGACCUGCACUAUGCAGCUGCAGCCUCGGCACCAAAGGGUUGUUGGCCCCAAGAGGCUUCCCAUAAAGAAAUGAAUAAUUGAAGAAAUGCCUAUCUAACUUCCAACCUAUCAGCUUCUCCUUCAACAAACAUGACAGCAAGUAAAGAAGUCUUCAGCUGGAGGAUGGUGGAGCUGCUGUGCUUGUUGGGUGCUGCAACAGCGGCGAAGAGCAGCGUCCUGGCAUGCCUUGAUCACAUGUACAACUUUAGUCUAUUACUGCAAUAAACACAGUUUAGAAAGACUGCCUUUACUAUACACCAAUAUGUUUAAUACUAUGGCUGUCGUGUGCAAAACCAUUCCUCUUUCAUGUCUUGUGCCCAUAGGGGUCUAGAGGGGGGGGGGCAAGGGUGAGCAGGUGCUCCCCCUUGGAAAUCUGUUCAGUUCCCGUUCACACUUGUUUGCACAUUAUAUUUUCCAAACCCGAGGAGGACAUUUGGUGCUACAGUUAUGGGUAGCAAUAAGUGCCAUUGCCUUGUGCUUAACUAAUGAAGAUACAAAAUUUGUUGCAUAAAAGUAUAAGACAUAAAA